UUAGGCCAUUAUCCUGUCACCUUAGGUCGAUCGGUACCUCAGUUAAAUAUCACAAAAUUGAUUAAUCAUUUUUCGUUUUUAUUUAAAUCAGUUCCUAAACUUUGUCUAGGUCACACCCACCAAUGGUUCUCCUGGGCCAUUAGCUCAGGUGGUUAGAGCGCACCCCUGAUAAGGGUGAGGUCCCUGGUUCAAGUCCAGGAUGGCCCAUUCGGUGUUGGGGGGGUAUAGCUCAGUUGGUAGAGCGCCUGCUUUGCAAGCAGGAUGUCAGCGAUUCGAGUCCGCUUACCUCCACUGAACAGCCUCCUGAUAGCGAAUUCACGGAGAAUUUUGUUUAUGUGAUCUAGAAUUUGUUCAUGAUGAAUGAACCUAGCUUCUUAUCAUUCCUUCUAAAAUUAAUUCUUAGUUAAGGCUGAUAUGACGCUGGGCUCCCUGCAAUUUUUAUUGCAGAGAACUUCAGCAGAACCUUGACAACUGCAUAGGUGAGUCUGGAAAGGAUAAAGCAUCUCAUGGAUGCAUUAAUUCUUUUAGUCAUAACUGAUUUCUGAUCAAAUUAGAAAUCAAAUUGUGACUUGGAAUUUAAUGUUUAAUUCUUGAGCAAGAGCUGAGACUCUAUAACGUCCUUUCAUUGUUCUAUAACAUUGAGAGUUCGAUUUUUGAUUUUUCCUUAAUUUGUUUGAGCUUUAGAUAAUCUCUAAAAAUCUUAUAUUUUAUAGGCUGAAAUCAAAAAGAAAGUGUUAACAACAUAUGGCGUUUUAGAGAUUAUAUGGUCAAGCUACAA
rnacentral:tRNA from 1 species